UAAAAAAAACAGAUAUAAAGGGCUCUCAUCAGGCUUAUAUAUCCAAGAGGUUAGACAUGAACCAUAACUUGUCUUUUUUGUUCUCUCUCUCCAAUGACAGAUGGGAUGGCCCUGUAAAUUGUGCAGCACUGUUGUACCAACCAAGAGUGACAUUUUAAAGCAUUACAGACUGCACCAUGGGACCUUUGGACACAGCCAUUCUUUGCCUUGCAUUCAUAGAGCCUAGCUCCACUCCCACCACGUUACUGGCCUUCUCUACCAACUUGUCCAGUCUGAUUGCGUCCCUCGCUCUCAGCCCGCUGCCCCAGCAGGCCACGGCGUACAAGAAGGCGCCUGCCACCACCGACUCGUAGAAUAUCUUCUAUUCUAUUCUAUUCUCAUUCUAUUUUUCCUGACCAAGUUUCCAUUGUGACUUGGACAUGACAUACUAGACUCACUUUUUGCCUGAAAAUGUAUACUAAUACCCUUAAUAUCAGUAAUGGUCAACAUUUGCUGUCUUACAGAUUAAUGAAGUGUUCCGAAGGUGCAAUGCUGUUCCACUGGAAUCAACAUUUAUGUCCCAACUGGACAGGUACACUCCAAAACUCCUGGAGCUCUUCAGUGCAAAAGGAGGAGUGACUGCAGCGCAUCAAGAACUUGUUGAUGGAACUGACACAGGACCCAAGUGCCUCUGCAGUGAAGAAGAGAGAUGUGACUGUGAGAUGCCUCAUAGAGUACGUGGGAGAGAGUGGACAGGAGCUAAUCUCUGACUACUGGAACUGCAGAGAACACUGUUCAUGAGGACCUGGAAAUGAAGAAUAUGAGCAUCUACAUCUGUCGUGAGCCAAAUGCAGUAGGAAUCAUCAUUGAGGGAGUACCAGUCCUUACUCAUCUUGGAAACCUGGCCAAAGCAUGCUGCCUACUUCUGGGGUUGACGUAUGCACUUAAUCUUGAGUAUCCAUCCAAACUUUCCAAAACAUUUGAGGUGUUUCAAAGACUUUUUGUGGGACUUGACACACUGCGCCCAAAACCAACCCCCAAAUUCAUGACUCUCAAAAACAAGCUUCUAGCUUAGGCAGUGAGCCAUGACUGUCAG